UACGUAGGUGGCAAGCGUUGUCCGGAAUUAUUGGGCGUAAAGCGCGCGCAGGUGGUUUCUUAAGUCUGAUGUGAAAGCCCACGGCUCAACCGUGGAGGGUCAUUGGAAACUGGGGAACUUGAGUGCAGAAGAGGAAAGUGGAAUUCCAAGUGUAGCGGUGAAAUGCGUAGAGAUUUGGAGGAACACCAGUGGCGAAGGCGACUUCCUGGCCUGUUCUUGACGCUGAGGCGCGAAAGCUAGGGGAGCAAACGGG
rnacentral:rRNA from 1 species